CUCACCUAGACGCCCAAGAUGAAGAACCAAACCCAACAGAGAGAUGGGCGCUGCAGUGCCCAAUGAGAAGAAGAGAGACAGCGUGGUGCCAGGAGACCCACGUAUCGCUGAGUAAGCAAAAAUUGGCAAUCUUAAAAAUAUUUUCUACCCAAUCCACUUCAAUUUGAGACUGCAACGUGUUGGGACUAUAAAUACAUGGUUAAAGACCUAAUUUGGAGUAGAAGAAUGGCUGGAGAGAAAAAAUUUAAGAAGGAGAUGGCUCAAGAGGCAAGAUAGAUGGAAAUCAAUUGAGGGAAGAUUGACAACAAUUGGGGGAAGAAUUCAAGCAGC
rnacentral:lncRNA from 1 species